CCUGUUCUCCAUUACUUGGUUC
rnacentral:miRNA from 1 species